rnacentral:misc_RNA from 1 species
CUUUGCCCCUCCGAAGCUCUACUACUGCAGCCACCGCCUCCUGAAGCUUGCCCUCUGUCUUGAAGCACAGAAACUAGCCAGAGGGAUUCAAUAGGCUGUGGUUUUCACUAAUAAGAACUUCUAAAAUGGAACCAGAAGUCGAAGAAGGGAGAAGGGAACCGGAAGUCACUAGAGGUUUAGAAAAGAAAAUCGUGAAAAUUGUUCGCAAGAUACUGGAGAAGGAAAACUUGUACGAGUUGACGGAGAAAAAAGUCCGAGAAAAGGCAUCGAAGGAUCUUGGGAUGAACCUCUCCGAUGAGCCCCUCAAGUCUAUCGUUAGCCGCGCCGUCGAAGAUUUCCUUGAAAGGCUCAGAACUCGAGCCCAAAAGUCAGUUGACUAAGCAUAAUUUGAGGAAAACAAAAGAUCUUCCGGUGGAUUUGAGAUGUAAUUUUA